rnacentral:lncRNA from 1 species
GUAAGAACACCUGAAAUAUAGGUGUUAUUUCUAAGGUGCUGAUUCAUAGAAUGAAGUUUAGAAUAGAGAUAGGUUUGUUACUGGGAGAAGGAAAAAACACUAAUGAUCCUUGGUAAUGAGUUUUUGCAGCUAUCUGUCUUAAACGCAUGGUGAACAGAAAGAAGGUUUGGAAUGAUGCUAGAGGUAAAUUUCCUGUCAUUUGCUGUGGUUCCCCCAUGAUUCAUGACUUAGUCAUGAUGAGAAUUUCCAUAAGAUGAGUAAUACAGUGAGUGGUUAGUAUAAAGAGUUCCAUGGCAAUGAAACAUAAAAAAAAAAAAAUGUCUACCAAACUUAUCUGAAGAGUUCAGGUUUUCUCCGUGUAACACUCCUGGCUGUCCUGGAACUCACUUUGUAGAUCAGGUUGGCUUAAACUCACUGAGACCUACCUGCCUCUGCCACCAAAGUACUGGGAUUAAAGUUGUGUACAACCACUGCCCAGCCUGUAUCUAGGGCUCUUCAGUGUGGGCAGAGCAGAAGGAUGCACUGCUCUUGGGAGCCAAGAGCUAGGAGAGAAGACCCUGGAAGAGCAGUCCCUCCAGAUGGACCUGUGAUCUUGCCUGUGUCAUUGCUGACGAAAUGUGCAUGGCCCAGCAACUCCUCCCAAGCUUCAUAAUCAGAGACCUCACUGCUGUAUGACCAUGCUUAGUUACCUGCUGUGAGUGGUAGGCAGCCUCACUGCUUCCAGAUUCCUUUGAGCAUUCCUUUCCCUCAAACAGGGUUUCUCUGUGUAACAGCUCUGGCUGUUCUGGAGCUCACUUGAAAGACCCCCGAAGAGGUACUUUCGUAGAGGGAGACCCGCACCCAGGAAUCAGCGAGACCACGAACUUGGAUGCAAACUGCAAGAGGCUUUAUUGGAGAUACGGGUACCCGGGCGACUUAGCUUCUGAAAUUCUUCUUGUUGACGCACUCAUCUGUUACAUGUAUCACAUUCAAAAAGGGACUAAGAACUUACAAGCCACCCCUUGCAGUUUCUAGGACUCAAAUAAUAUACAAAUGGUUAUGAAAGCAUGCAUAACACCUGUGCAAGUCCAAGUCAGAACAAAUCCCA